GGCCACUGUGCAUGUGAAUGGCCUACCCCAAUGAAAAAUCAAGUGGGGAGAGACCUAAACCAUGGAACCAUGCCAAUGUAUGAAACCCCAAGUGAAAGGCCAAACAGUGUACGUGGAUCUCUCAAGCUGCCCGCUUGGCCCUCUUCCAAGGGUAGUUUACUUCCUUUUGUUCCUGCUCUAAAACUUUUUUUUUUGUGUGUGACACAGUCUCGCUCUGUUGCCAGGCUGGAGUGCAGUGGCGCGAUCUCAGCUCACUGCAACCUCUGUCUCCAGGGUUCAAGUGAUUCUCCUGCCUCAGCCUCCGGAGUAGCUGGGACUACAGGGAAGAAUUGAGUUUGCUGCACACCUGUCAGAUUUGCUACUGCUAACAACGUGAGUGACUGUGGCCAGGAGAAAACAAAAACUCAAGAAGCCCUGAGAAGAAUGUGUUAGGAAUAUGCUUUUGGCAUCUAAUCAUUCUUCAUAAAUCAAGAUGUGAAGUCAGUGAAGUAAGAGAUGAACAAUUUCUGGAAAUGGAAUCUCCACAGCUACUUCUGGACAACCUCAGCCCAUUCAUCUACAAACCUCCGUGCCCGGCACGUUGUCCAGGCUGGACCCCCAGCCGGAUGGUGUAUUAGGAGUUCCUUUACAUGCCUGCUGGGGGCGACAUCCUUUCUCACAUUUGUAACAGUGAAACAGCAAAAGAAUGAACAUGACUAACUCCAUUUUUGUUUGAGUGGUCCUUAUCUAUGUUUAGAUACCCAUUCCUGCAUGUGGGCUAGAAUAAUUUUAGAGCACUGGGAUGAAACACUACAAUGGGAGUCAUACAGUUUUUGAAAUGAACUCUGGGAUUAAAAAGGAGUAUUUGAGCAACCGACCAUAUUUUGUUAAAGAUUUAUAGGAGGAAGGAGCAUUGUGACCUGACCAGGGACAAAGAAAUUCCCAACUUCCUUGGACCCUUGCUGGCACCCAGCUGUCUAUAGUCAUAGGUUAUGUGUUGAUCCCAACACCCUCCUCUUCCCCCUGCCCUUAACAUAAAAAGAGCCUGAAAUUUGUACCGACUUGUGAUGGUCUUUGUGACACUAGUCCACCAUCUCCCCAGGUUGCC
rnacentral:lncRNA from 1 species